AGACUAUCAACACGUUUCAUUGGACAGUUAUUUAAAUUUUUUUCAUAAAUCAUUAGUUCUUAAAAUAAAAGUGCUUAAAAUCCUAGUUUCCUUUACAUUUAAUUCGGAAUGUGUGUAAAAAUAAUAACCUAGAAGGCAGUUGUUUUAAAAAUUGUUUUGCCCUCCCCCUCCUUUAGUCUUAUAUAAGGAGGGGGAGGGGUGUGAAGCUGCGCAUUUGUUGCACUCGGCGAACGGAGUAGAAAAAGUAUCUCUGAUGAUUUUUGAAGGCAUCCCCCUUCCCUUUUCGUAAGUCUACGAUAAGGAGGGCGUGGGCUGUGGGGCGGUGCAUUUGCUGCACAGAGGUUACGCGUACCAAAUAUUUCUGAUGGAUUUUGCUGGGUUACUCCCCCCCUCCUUUAAGAUGAAUUUAGGAGGGGGAGGGAGUAUAUAAUUGAGCAGCUGUGGAGCUCGAUGGAGAACGCGUCACAAGUACCUAACAAAUGCGUACUUGUCACAUAGAAGGUCCUCGGUGCUUGAUUCUUCAGCACCUGACGGGCGGUUCUGUGUUCUGUGUUGUGGCGCGUUGGAAGUUUUCACUUGAAGCUUCAGAGACUUUUAAACUAGUAUAAUACGCGCCAUCUAAAGAGACUGGUCUGAAGUUAGCCUCUCUACUAUAUAACCUUUAAAAUAUAAUAAUCAACUAAUUUCUGACCGGCCAACUUAGAUCGCCCGUAUUGUAAUUAAGAUAAAUUAAAUGUUGCUUUGUUAAAUAUGUUCAUGUAUCUAACAAAACAACCGGUUAUUACCACUGUAAGUUACUAUUAUAUAUAGUUCAGGGCGGGGACGUAUUCACUUGACGAUUCCCAGACCUUGACUCUAGUAUUAUACGUACCAGUUAUCGACAAAUGUUUGAAAUCGACACAUUAUUAAGCCACUAAACAUCAAACAUAAAUAUUGUAAUUAAGGUUAACUUAGUGUAAGUUGGCCCCAAGCCAGUACUGCAUGUUACUAAUGUAUGCGGUAUUACUAAGGUUUUCCCUGCGCGUAGUAAUGUAAGCAAUAGCGAAGGUAUGCCCCUCGAUUUCUUCGCUACUAUUGAAUGCAACGUAUGUUGCAAUUAAACCAUUAAGUCACUAAACAUCAACGUUAAAUAUUGUAAGGUUCAUUUAAUGUUGGUUUGUUAAAUAUAGCCAAAUAUUUAACAAAUCAACCACCAUUAACUCUCGCCGUAAGUUACUAACUAACCUAGUAUUGUAAUCGGUAGGUAUGGUAUGCCCUUCGAUAGGUAAUUUAAGGACAAAAAAAAU